ACUUGGAAGAUAAGGAAAAUUACUCCAUCAAUUGGUUUUGUAGUCCUUUAAAAAUGUGUUUGUAGCUUUAUGUCUAUUUUACAAGCGGUCUUCAUUUCUACACAUAAGAAAUAUGAAAAGAACACACAAGAGAUUUGAAAAGGUCAUUUCUUCUAUUCAAAUUGCAAGUGUUAUAGGAUACAAAACAUGGCAAUAACCACUCUGAUAUCUGUCUGUUUUUCAACAAAAGCUCUAAACGGAAAAAGGAAAAUAGGUUAAGAAACUACAUGGAAAGUGGAGACUGGCAGCUCUCCAAAAUCACAACGCAUAAACACCACAAUAAUCACCCAGACAUAGCAGAAACAGAAACUUGCAUAAAGACAAAAGGGACUUUUUUCGAGGGUUCAGAAACCUUAGUUACUCUGUUAGUCUAUGAUAACAGGAAAGAACUGGAUCACCAGCAAAGUAUAUCUUUGAGUUGUAAAAGAAUAAUGACAGUCUGUACACUACGCCUUUCAGGGAAAAUUCUCGAGUCCCUUAAUGGUCAUUGCUUAUUGAGUUAUAACAUUAAAAAACAGUUGGAUACGCCAGCGAAAAUAUUGCAGGUUCAGAAAAAAAUCAAGGCCCUAAUCCAUAAAGCAAUUAUGUUAGUGGUUGAAGCAUAGAAGUAACAACCUAAAAAUCCUAAGUCUGAAUCCCAGCAACAACAUUUAGUUAAGCCCAUCUGCUCAUGAGAGGCCAACCCAUCAAGUCUGCUUGUCGGUGUAUUAGCCAAGGUGCACGCAAGUUGGCCCGAAUAUCAUUACCGUCACAAAAUAAAUUGAAAAAAGAAGUAAACAUCAAUCCAACAAAAGCAUACCUGUGCAUCAAACACAAAUAACAUCUUUGUCUUCUAACCAACGGAAUCGCCAUGGAUGAUCUUAUACUGCUUCAGAGCUGUAAAUUCAAACAUCAAUUACCAGACCCCUGCAACUAAUCAGAUAAACAAAGCCCACAAAAUGAUUCUCAGCCGAUAAAGAACAAGCAAACUUUAGGCAUGAAAUUGCUCAUAUAAUGUAGAGGAAAAUGCUACACAUACAACACCAGAACUCCUGCUAACAUCUAAUGACUCUACAAAGAGUUAAGCUCCUCAGUAUAUUGCAGAAGGUUCUAAAUGCCUGGGCAGAUAAACAAUCACUAGUUUUUGAAGCACCAUAACUAUCUUUCUGCAAUAUUAGAUCAUAGCAAAAAUUGCAAAAAUACAAGAAAUAUUACCAUAUAUCG